CAAUAGCGUAUAUUAAAGUUGUUGCAGUUAAAAAGCUCGUAGUUGGAUUUCUGGUGGGAGCGAUCGGUCUGGCGCUUAGCGCGAGUACUUGCAUCGUCUCCGGCCAUCCUUGGGGAGAGUCUGUCUGGCAUUAGGUUGUCGGGCAGAGGAUCCUCAUCGUUUACUGUGAAAAAAUUAGAGUGUUCAAAGCAGGCUUAUGUCGUUGAAUAUAUUAGCAUGGAAUAAUAAGAUAGGACUUUGGUACUAUUUUGUUGGUUUGCGCACCAAAGUAAUGAUUAAUAGGGACAGUUGGGGGUAUUCGUAUUCCGUUGUCAGAGGUGAAAUUCUUGGAUUUACGGAAGACGAACUACUGCGAAAGCAUUUACCAAGGAUGUUUUCAUUAA
rnacentral:rRNA from 1 species